rnacentral:rRNA from 1 species
UACGUAGGGGGCAAGCGUUGUCCGGAUUUACUGGGUGUAAAGGGUGCUCAGGCGGUCUUAUAAGUCAGAGGUGAAAUCCCAGAGCUUAACUCUGGAACGGCCUUUGAUACUGUAAGGCUUGAGUAUGGAAGAGGUUGAUGGAAUUUCGGGUGUAGCAGUGAAAUGCGUAGAUAUCCGAAAGAACACCAGUGGCGAAGGCGGUCAACUGGUCCAUUACUGACGCUAAAGCACGAAAGCGUGGGGAGCAAACAGG